rnacentral:rRNA from 1 species
GUGAACGCUGGCGGUAGGCCUAACCCCUGCAAGUCGAACGGCAGCACAGUAAGAGCUUGCUCUUACGGGUGGCGAGUGGCGGACGGGUGAGGAAUACAUCGGAAUCUACUUUUUCGUGGGGGAUAACGUAGGGAAACUUACGCUAAUACCGCAUACGACCUACGGGUGAAAGCAGGGGAUCUUCGGACCUUGCGCGAUUGAAUGAGCCGAUGUCGGAUUAGCUAGUUGGCGGGGUAAAGGCCCACCAAGGCGACGAUCCGUAGCUGGUCUGAGAGGAUGAUCAGCCACACUGGAACUGAGACACGGUCCAGACUCCUACGGGAGGCAGCAGUGGGGAAUAUUGGACAAUGGGCGCAAGCCUGAUCCAGCCAUACCGCGUGGGUGAAGAAGGCCUUCGGGUCGUAAAGCCCUUUUGUUGGGAAAGAAAAGCAGCAGGUUAAUACCCCGCUGUUCUGACGGUACCCAAAGAAUAAGCACCGGCUAACUUCGUG